rnacentral:lncRNA from 1 species
CAACCCUUCAGUGUUCUGAAGCCAAGUUGACUCCUGUGCAGCUGUGAAUAUGCCUGAGGAGGCUACGGCCUUGGUCUCUUGAAGCCUGUGCUACGGGAGCCCGAGGACACCAGCACCCACCUCUCUACAGACCUAUAUGAACACUGACAUCCACAGCCGGCGCUUUCAGAACCGACUAAAGCAAAAUCUCAUAAGGACGGCCUUCCAGGAAGAAUUAUAUGAACUACAAAUGAAGGCAUUGAAAGCAAGGGCAUACAGGAAAUAUGAUGGUGUGAAAAAGUCCAGCAUGAACUCAGACAGGACACAGACCAGGACCAGAGCCUCAUGUAGACAGAGCUGCUGCAGAAGGAGCAAUGAGCAUGCCUGCACCCUUGAGAGACCUGAGGAGGAUGAAGGAAAAUACGGACAACUUGAAUCCAUGACAGUCUUCAGUCUAGGAUCAAGGCCUCCUCACAAAAGCCAUCUCCUUGUAGCUGAGAACUCAACAGACUGUCUGGAAUCAGUUGCGGCAUCACAGUCCUGUAACACCAGAACUCCCAGGCAGAGAUGGAUGUCUGCAAGUGCCAAGUGGCUUGGUCUACACAGUGAGUUCCUAGCUGGGGUUCAUAAUGCUACACAGAGGGGUGAUGUCUUGCGUGUAGAUGGUCUCUGUGGAUACUCCCUUGUGAGAGCAAAACUAUCUCUACUAUAUCUCUG